GUCGAGAAUCUUUCACAAUGGGGGCAACCCUGAUGGAGCGACGCCGCGUGGAGGAUAAGGUCUUCGGAUUGUAAACUCCUGUCAUGCGUGAACAAGGUUGCUUGGUUAAUACCUGGGCAAAUUGAUGGUAACGCAAGAGGAAGAGACGGCUAACUCUGUGCCAGCAGCCGCGGUAAUACAGAGGUCUCAAGCGUUGUUCGGAAUCACUGGGCGUAAAGGGUGCGUAGGUGGCGUGGCAAGUCAGAUGUGAAAGCCCGGGGCUCAACCUCGGAACUGCAUCCGAUACUGCCAUGCUAGAGUACUGGAGGGGUGACUAGAAUUCUCGGUGUAGCAGUGAAAUGCGUAGAUAUCGAGAGGAAUACCAAAGGCGUAGGCAGGUCACUGGACAGUUACUGACACUGAGGCACGAAGGCCAGGGGAGCGAACGGGAUUAGAAACCCUGGUAGUCC
rnacentral:rRNA from 1 species